rnacentral:rRNA from 1 species
CAUUCACGGAGAGUUUGAUCCUGGCUCAGGACGAACGCUGGCGGCGUGCUUAACACAUGCAAGUCGAACGAUGAACCACUUCGGUG